AUUUUAAUAGCUCAUAAAGAGCAUGAUGUUGAAGCUAUCAAGGAGAUUUAUUGUCUUAAAAUA
rnacentral:tRNA from 1 species